rnacentral:rRNA from 1 species
UACGUAGGGACCAAGCGUUGUUCGGAUUCCUGGGCGUAAAGGGCGCGUAGGCGGCUUGACAAGUCACUUGUGAAAUCUCCGGGCUUAACUCGGAACGGCCAAGUGAAACUGUCAUGCUAGAGUGCAGAAGGGGCAAUCGGAAUUCUUGGUGUAGCGGUGAAAUGCGUAGAUAUCAAGAGGAACACCUGAGGUGAAGACGGGUUGCUGGGCUGACACUGACGCUGAGGCGCGAAAGCCAGGGGAGCAAACGGG